AGAACAUGCACCGCGUGUGCCCAGCUCCCCGGGAAGUGGGGUUGGCGCGUGUGGGUUUUUCUAAAGAGAAAUAUGGCCCGUAAUUUAAAAAUGCAUCCCCUCCUCAGGGGUAGCCAAAAUAACAAGUGGACUGCAAGGUAAACCUGUUUAAUGAAAAGCCGAGGGCCGUGGUGGGCAUCUCUUGCUAAAAGGGAGAGGAAAAUGUCAGUACUCUCUGCAGUUUGAGACCAUCACAGACAAUGCUGCUACAACCAGUCUUGUACAUAAACCUUGGGACACGUGUACCGGUUGCUCCAAGCAUAGGACUGAAAUACCAAAUCUCAGGUGUUGGGUUAACAAUUCUUUGUACUGAAUCCUCACUGUCAACAAACUGGUGUGGUUUCUGUCCUCUGAGUAGACACUGAUGGAUGAACCCCUUCUGCCGCCCUGAAGAGCUGUUUGAAUCUUCUCUGUGGAAAUCUUGCUAACCAUAUGUGCAGCUUGCAGCCAGCAAUUCCACCCCCAAGGAAGAUACACCAGAGAAACUCAUGCCUAUGUGCCUCCGGAGAUAUAUACAGGGAUGUUCAUUAUGGCCCAAAGAAGGAGCUACACACUAGUGCAUCAACAAGAGUGGAGUGACAGGAGACUGGUCACAAAGAUCCUUAAGUCUUUGUCUUGAUGAAGAGCACAUCUCAGAUUAAGCCAUGGUAUCUUAGACAGAGGGCA
rnacentral:lncRNA from 1 species